ensembl:lncRNA
CUGACAAGAUUGAAGGGAGCGCAACCCAGGAACUGGGGGGAGAAAAAUAAAAAAAAAGGGGGGGGGGGGGAAGGGAGGGAGGGGGGAGCGGGCGGGCAAAGGGGUAGAGGGAGAAGUAACCCCGGCUAAAGUUUGUACAAUUAGAACCCAUCCGCUUAAAGUAGACUUUGUGCUUUCGGCUUCUCCUUUCCCUUCGCUGCGAGGAUGUGUGUUGUAAGAGGUAAGCGCAGCCGGCUCAGAACUGCGGUGCGGGGUCAGGAGAAAGGAGCGGGGAGGAGAGGGGGAGCAGGAAAGAGGAGCGAAAGGAAAGCGAGGACGGUUUGAGGAGCAGGGCUGCACCGUGGGAAGGAUGGAGUCAUCCAGUGGCUCAGCGUUGCUUCAGAGAGGGUUUGGUGAGGUCAUCAUGUGGGAAUGACUAAGGAGUGUAUGCAGUGUUGAUGUCGAAGGUAAGCUGAUCAAAUCCACGUUGAUGCAGCAGAGUAGUAAGUAUACGUGUGUGACACUUGCAGCACGUAUGUCAUGACACAGUCCUAAAUGAAUUCUCAGAAAUCGUUGGGACUGCUGUGCUGCAAACAGUGGACAAACUCUGCAGGAGCAAUGCUGCUAUUUAUUUUUGUUAGUGGGGUAACCGCUGCCCAUUUGUCCUUUAGCAAAGAUUUGUACAUUGUUACUCUGAAGCUAUUAAAAUCCGUGUUCUCAAUGAAUUUUUGGGAAAAAAUAAAAGCAAAUGGGAAAGAAAAAAGUACACUCUAUCUUCAUAAAGAUCAGAAGGGUGGUGAUUUGCCAUAGAGCUGCGACAUGAUUGCUAGAUAUUUUUCAGCAUUCAGUAAAAAAUUCAGUAUUCUUGCAUCUCCUGACCCUGUUCUAUGCAGGUGAGGGUGCUGGGUACAGUGCCAACUCAAGGAGCUGGAGCACGGUCCUUGGUUUUUCUGCUUUCUUUAUCUUUGACAUAAAUCUGUAACCCCAGGAGAAAUUUGCCCACUGGCCUGGUCUGUCCUUCCUCCCACUGUCCUGGAGACCAAGAAGGAGACUGGUGAAUUGUCCCCUCUUUUCCCAUCUGAACCUCUGGAGCUGCGCCUCGUAGGAUUUUUGCAAUGGAAGAAUCUCAGAUGACUCUUCUUCGCAUUUAAAUGAAAAGAGUGCUUGGAGAAUGUGCAUUCUGGUCUUCACGUUCUUCCUGAAGAUUUGAUUAAAGUUACACGAUUGCAGAAAUCAUGUGUUAGACGCUGGGCAAAUAAACAGGGCUGGCUGGAAGCCUGCUCAGCUGCCUUAUGGCAACGGCUAUGUUCAGUAGUGGAGGAAGACACACGAAGGCUCAAACCGCAGUGGUGUUUCUGAGUUGAUCCCUUCUCUAAUUUGUCCUUCCUGUAUCCUUGCAGCCCUCUUUGUGCCUGCCAUCAUGUGGAAGGUGCUUCAGAAGAGCUAGUAUUUAUGUUAUCCUGAGGCCCUAACCACCCAAAUCCCCCCCAUUGCUGAGUUCUACUACCCACUUUCUGGGUGAAGUGGAGCAACCUUUUUUGCACUACAAAUGAAGUAUCCAUAAGGACCAAAGUCGGGGUGGGAUUUUCCAGCAAAGAACAUGCUUCUCAUGUAUAGAAGAGAGCACAGAGACUUCUGUUCUGUGAGAUAAUUUUUCCUGGUACAUGGUGUAGAGUCAAGGCCGAUACUUCUCAGUGCUGGUGCUGGAUUUCCACUAAUUUUGCAUCAGGGUCUUCCUCUGAAUCCCCCGUGGGAGUUGUCUGGUACUGCUUAAAGGGAUGGUGUUUUUUGUAAUUAUUUAAUGAUUGUUCCAGGUUUCUUUCCUGUGCUUGUUAAACCUUCAUUCCAGUGAAAGUGUAAUCCCAUAUUAUUGAAUUUGGAUAAAAAGUGAUCGAGAAUAAACAUUAAUUCCUCAGUAAAGACAUUGGAGUAAAUAUUAUUCACCUAAUUUUAGUUUUUCUGGUUUGAAAAUAUAGACCCAAGUGCAGAACUGAGCAUUUUGAUUAGAUUAAAAACAUUUAAAAGUAACACAGCAUGCAAAGGGGGCCGGGAGUCUCCAUUAGACUUGUUAUGUUGGCUUAGAAACUUCAUGGGGUAUCUCUUUCUCCAGUGAAUUCUAGGAAAAAUCUCUGUUAAUUAUUAUCAGUUUCUUUCUUCAAUUCCGAUUUUUGAAUAUAUUUUUUUUUUAAAUAAGGAAGUGACAGUGAAUUGGAGCAUCUUUAAAUUAAACAAGUUUUUUUUAGCCCUUAGCUGAUGUUGUUGUAUGCUCUCUCCUUAAUCCCUCUGUGAGUUUCCUCCUGCUUUGUGAGACACAGGAGUCCAACAUUAAUAAAAUAAAAUAAAAUAAAAUAUAAAAUAAAUAAAAUAAAAUAAAUAAAAUAAAAAGUAAAAAGUAAAAAGAAAGCUGAAGCCUAUUUCAGGUUACUAUCUUCUUAUUCCUUCUUUCUAGUUCUCUUUACCUACACAGUCAGCCAUGAAUACUGCACGUUCAUUUAAAUUUUCAGCCAUUGAAUCAUGAUCACUUGAAGACCCAGGAACCCUGGAUGUAACUCAAGGGGUUAUGCUGUUUUUACUGUUUGGCACCUGCUCAGGAAAGGGAACUUAGCUUAGCAGUUAAAGCAUA